CGAAAUGCGAUAAGUAAUGUGAAUUACAGAAUUCAGUGAAUCAUCGAAUCUUUGAACGCACCUUGCGCUCCUUGGUAUUCCUUGGAGCAUGCCUGUUUGAGUAUCAUGAAAUCUUCAAAGUAAAUCUUUUGUUAACUCAAUUGGUUUCUACUUUGGUAUUGGAGGUCUUUGCAGCUUCACACCUGCUCCUCUUUGUUCAUUAGCUGGAUCUCAGUGUUAUGCUUGGUUCCACUCGGCGUGAUAAGUUAUCUAUCGCUGAGGACACUGUAAAAGGUGGCCAAGGUAAAUGCAGAUGAACCGCUUCUAAUAGUCCAUUGACUUGGACAAUACUUUUAUGAUCUGAUCUCAAAUCAGGUAGGACUACCCGCUGAACUUAAGC
rnacentral:misc_RNA from 1 species